CCUUCCUUUUGUGUUCAUAAACCUUGUGUAUAAAUUUCAUUGAUUUCUAUUCACUUAUACAAAAGUUAUUGUGAGUAAACCAAGAAUAAUAGUUAUUUGGGCCCUUUUUUGGCCCCUAAUUCCUAAACUGUUGGGACAAAAACUCUCAAAAUCAAUCCCAACCUUCCUUUAGUGGUCAUUAACCUUGUGUCAAAAUUUCAUAGAUUUCUAUUUACUUAAACUAAAGUUAUAGUUAGAAAACCAAGAAAAUGCUUAUUUGGGCCCUUUUUGGCCCUAAUUCCCAAACUGUUGGGACCAAAACUUCCAAAAUCAAUCCCAACCUUCCUUUUAUGGUCAUAAACCUUGUGUUUAAAUUUCAUAGAUUUCUAUUCACU
rnacentral:lncRNA from 1 species